GACGUAGGGUGCGAGCGUUGUCCGGAUUUAUUGGGCGUAAAGGGCGCGUAGGCGGCUUAACAAGUCACUUGUGAAAUCUCCGGGCUUAACUCGGAACGGCCAAGUGAAACUGUCAAGCUAGAGUGCAGAAGGGGCAAUCGGAAUUCUUGGUGUAGCGGUGAAAUGCGUAGAUAUCAAGAGGAACACCUGAGGUGAAGACGGGUUGCUGGGCUGACACUGACGCUGAGGCGCGAAAGCCAGGGGAGCAAACGGG
rnacentral:rRNA from 1 species